CCUACGGGAGGCAGCAGUGGGGAAUAUUGAGCAAUGGGCGAAAGCCUGACCCAGCAACGCCGCGUGAAGGAAGAAGGCUUUCGGGUUGUAAACUUCUUUUGACAGGGAAGAGCAGAAGACGGUACCUGUCGAAUAAGCCACGGCUAACUACGUGCCAGCAGCCGCGGUAAUACGUAGGUGGCAAGCGUUGUCCGGAUUUACUGGGGGUAAAGGGCGUGUAGCCGGGCUGACAAGUCAGAUGUGAAAUCCGGGGGCUCAACCCCCGAACUGCAUUUGAAACUGUUGGUCUUGAGUAUCGGAGAGGCAGGCGGAAUUCCUAGUGUAGCGGUGAAAUGCGUAGAUAUUAGGAGGAACACCAGUGGCGAAGGCGGCCUGCUGGACGACAACUGACGGUGAGGCGCGAAAGCGUGGGGAGCAAACAGGAUUAGAUACCCCAGUAGUC
rnacentral:rRNA from 1 species